rfam:Myotis lucifugus cont2.46536, whole genome shotgun sequence.
GGCGAUUCUCGGGUUAUGCACCCUGGAAUAGGGCUCCCUCCUCUCUGGUUCCCAGUGUGUCACCCGAAAGCCACA